rnacentral:rRNA from 1 species
ACUCUACGGGAGGCAGCAGUGAGGAAUAUUGGUCAAUGGGCGAGAGCCUGAACCAGCCAAGUCGCGUGAAGGAUGACUGUCUUAUGGAUUGUAAACUUCUUUUAUACGGGAAUAACAAGAGCCACGUGUGGCUCCCUGCAUGUACCGUAUGAAUAAGCAUCGGCUAACUCCGUGCCAGCAGCCGCGGUAAUACGGAGGAUGCGAGCGUUAUCCGGAUUUAUUGGGUUUAAAGGGUGCGUAGGCGGCCUGUUAAGUCAGCGGUGAAAUCUAGGAGCUUAACUCCUAAAUUGCCAUUGAUACUGGCGGGCUUGAGUGUAGAUGAGGUAGGCGGAAUGCGUGGUGUAGCGGUGGAAUGCAUAGAUAUCACGCAGAACUCCGAUUGCGAAGGCAGCUUACUAAGGUACAACUGACGCUGAAGCACGAAAGCGUGGGUAUCAAACAGGAUUAGAAACCCCGGUAGUCCAGAAGUG